CCUACGGGAGGCAGCAGUGAGGAAUAUCGGUCAAUGGGCGAGAGCCUGAACCAGCCAAGUCGCGUGAGGGAGUACUGCCCUAUGGGUUGUAAACCUCUUUUGUCGGGGAGCAAAAGCCGGACGUGUCCGGCUGUGAGCGUACCCGAAGAAAAAGCAUCGGCUAACCCCGUGCCAGCAGCCGCGGUGAUUAGGAGGGUGCCAGCGUUAUCCGGAUUUAUUGGGUGUAACGGGCGUGGAGGCGGGAAUGCAAGUCAGAUGUGAAAAUUAUGGGGUCAACCCAUAGCCUGCAUUUGAAACUGUAUGUCUUGAGUGCUGGUGAGGCAAGCGGAAUUCGGGGUGUAGCGGUGAAAUGCGUAGAUAUACGGAGGAACACCAGUGGCGAAGGCGGAUUGCUGGACAGUAACUGACGCUGAGGCGCGAAAGCGUGGGGAGCAAACAGGAUUAGAUACCCCAGUAGUC
rnacentral:rRNA from 1 species